rnacentral:tRNA from 1 species
CGGAGAGCCAAGCCAGGU